rnacentral:lncRNA from 1 species
ACAAAGAAUUUUCUUCGCAUCAUAAUUACGAGUGGGUAGUAUAUUUCCAUCUAACAACAUUUCAUUCAACAACGUCAACAAUUCUGUAAAACUCUUAUCAGUCCAUCCAUUGCUCGCCUUCAAAUUCAUGAGCCUUAACACAGCUGACAAACGUGUGAACUUAGUUGAACCGACAUACAAAGGUGUUUCCGCAUCAGUCGACAUCGUGUCAUACACAUGAGCUUUGGAAAAAUUUUCUGCGCCAACAUCGCGGAUCAUGUCCUCCAAUUUGUCUUCAUCCGGUCGAUCUUCUUCCAUGGUGGAGUCAGUAACAUUUUCAGUUUGCGAGUCAGUCGGAAAGUACAUUUCUUCNNNGUGCCAUAUCCAUGUUGUAUAACAUCUUAGGAAACCAUCACAGAUAAGAUGUUCUCUAAUUUGGGUUGCGUUCAACUUUCUCUCAUUCAAACAGUUCACACAAGGACAUCUAAACUUCACUUCAUCAUCA